rnacentral:rRNA from 1 species
CAACUUUUAACAACGGAUCUCUUGGCUCUCGCAUCGAUGAAGAACGCAGCGAAAUGCGAUAAGUAAUGUGAAUUGCAGAAUUCAGUGAAUCAUCGAAUCUUUGAACGCACCUUGCACUCUCUGGUAUUCCGGAGAGUACGCCUGUUCGAGUGUCAUG